GCGUAUGCGCGCAGCCUGAUGCAGCCAUGCCGCGUGUAUGAAGAAGGCCUUCGGGUUGUAAAGUACUUUCAGCGGGGAGGAAGGGAGUAAAGUUAAUACCUUUGCUCAUUGACGUUACCCGCAGAAGAAGCACCGGCUAACUCCGUGCCAGCAGCCGCGGUAAUAG
rnacentral:rRNA from 1 species